rnacentral:rRNA from 1 species
AUUGAACGCUGGCGGCAUGCUUUACACAUGCAAGUCGAACGGCAGCGGGGUAGUGCUUGCACUACUGCCGGCGAGUGGCGAACGGGUGAGUAAUAUAUCGGAACGUACCGAGUAAUGGGGGAUAACCAAUCAAAAGAUUGGCUAAUACCGCAUAGGUCCUGAGGGAGAAAGCGGGGGAUCGCAAGACCUCGCGUUAUUCUGGCGGCCGAUAACUGAUUAGCUAGUUGGUGGGGUAAAGGCCUACCAAGGCGACGAUCAGUAGCGGGUCUGAGAGGACGAUCCGCCACACUGGGACUGAGACACGGCCCAGACUCCUACGGGAGGCAGCAGUGGGGAAUUUUGGACAAUGGGGGCAACCCUGAUCCAGCCAUGCCGCGUGUAUGAAGAAGGCCUUCGGGUUGUAAAGUACUUUUGUUAGGGAAGAAAAGGGAAGUGCUAAUACCACUUUUUGCUGACGGUACCUAAAGAAUAAGCACCGGCUAACUACGU